rnacentral:rRNA from 1 species
UACAGAGGGUGCAAGCGUUAAUCGGAAUUACUGGGCGUAAAGCGUGCGUAGACGGUUAUUUAAGUCAGGUGUGAAAGCCCCGGGCUCAACCUGGGAAUUGCAUUUGUGACUGCAUAGCUAGAGUACGGUAGAGGGGGAUGGAAUUCCGCGUGUAGCAGUGAAAUGCGUAGAUAUGCGGAGGAACACCGAUGGCGAAGGCAAUCCCCUGGACCUGUACUGACGCUCAUGCACGAAAGCGUGGGGAGCAAACAGG